GGACAUGAGGGCAACCUGACUAUGAAAUCUGCCAUCCCAGUGACCAUCUGAACUGAUUCAACUGGUCCAGCCGGCAAGGCAAUGCCUCCUCUCUCUCAUUUGCUCCCUGGGUACCUCUCCUGAAGGGACACACUUGGUUGAUGAAGCAGGCCUCCCCUAGAGAAUGAGGGCCAUUCUUCAGUCAAGAGUAUAGCAAGGGCUACUCCUUGUCAGAACCCCGAGCAGCUCUCAACAAAGUCCUAAGAAGGACCCUCUGAUUCUAAUGAAGACACGCCAUACACACCCCGGUUUUCAGGGGGAGAAGCAG
ensembl:misc_RNA 7SK 7SK RNA